rnacentral:rRNA from 1 species
UACGUAGGGGGCGAGCGUUGUCCGGAUUUAUUGGGCGUAAAGAGCGUGUAGGCGGCCAGGUAGGUCUGCUGUGAAAACUCGAGGCUCAACCUCGAGACGUCGGCGGAAACCAUCUGGCUAGAGUCCGGAAGAGGAGAGUGGAAUUCCUGGUGUAGCGGUGAAAUGCGCAGAUAUCAGGAAGAACACCCGUGGCGAAGGCGGCUCUCUGGGACGGUGACUGACGCUGAGACGCGAAAGCGUGGGGAGCGAACAGG